CAGGCUGCAACUCGCCUGCAUGAAGGCGGAAUUGCUAGUAAUCGCGAAUCAGAAUGUCGCGGUGAAUACGUUCCCGGGCCUUGUACACACCGCCCGUCACACCAUGAGAGUCGAUAACACCCGAAGCCUGUGAGCUAACCUUAGGGAGGCAGCAGUCGAAGGUGGGGUUGAUGAUUAGGGUGAAGUCGUAACAAGGUAAC
rnacentral:rRNA from 1 species